rnacentral:lncRNA from 1 species
GGUCCAGCAACUGAGGGGGCGGGAAGCCAACUCACUUGGCUUCGGUUUCUCUGCAGUUGGUUGAGGCUGCUUUUGGCUUUUGAUUGGGCCUUGGGUCCUUUCGGGGUUGGCUUUGCUGUGCUGGGCAAGUUCUCCUGAUCUCGUUUUUUCUCCCUGGCCUCCAUCUGGGUGUCUCUGAUGUGCACCCCUGUCCCCCAACACAGACGUGCGUGCACGAGCGCUCACAUACACGCCCUGAGAGUCUUUGGGUAGCUUCACAGUGUUGAGGAUUUGGGGUGGUAACGUUGGAUUUAGCAGUCAGCUACCUUUUUUAUCACUAGGCGAGCCGGGACUUACAGGUCCGUGGUCUGGGCUGGUGAUCUCCGUGGAUUCUUCGCAAAGCGAGCCCCUCCUUCCCGCUGUGUGUCCCUCGCUUGGGAGGGGCUGGAGGUGGAUGGGCCGUUCUGACUGCCUCGCACUUUCCCGAUUCAUUAAGCUCGGCUUCCAGUGGGAGGUGGUUCUGGGUUUCUACACGGGGGACCUGGGCAGAAGAGACGGAAGAUGGUGAGGUUUCACCUAAUUGGAAUAGUCUGUCUGCACCCUUCCUGUAGAAACUGGCGAGAAACUUGAUUCUGCUGGGUAAACCUUUUCUGGGUUGCUUCCCCGCGUUUGUGUUGGCCUUGGAAAGGAAUUUGAAUGAAUACUCCCGAACAAAAGGAACAGCUUUCUUUUCAAAGAGGCUAUCAGAAUUGAAAGGGAAUGGCACACAGUUGGGUGUGUCCUGCAGUCUGGAGACGGGCCCUGCCUGCGUGAUUAACUCACCUGAAAGGCACCCGGAGCAGGUGAUGUGGGCGCUCUCUGCCUGACCUUGGCUUCCUUUAGGGGAAGGUCCCCACAAGGUGGAGAUUUUCCUGAAAAACAGGCUUUCCUUUAAUUACGAGAUUACCUUCCUGCCCUGUGCUUCUUUUCCUUUCGUGAACACGUGUGUGCUUGCAGACACGUGUGAUUGGGAAAGAGGUCCCUGAAGUCUUUGCUGGGGCCCCAAGGCCCCAGGGGGCCCGGGGGUGGUGGGGACCCAGAAGACAACAUGUCUCAGCCUUGGGGUGCUGCCCUGUUUCCUGGAGGGCUCAGGUAAGCAGGAUGGGGGGCGGGGGCGGGAGGG